rnacentral:rRNA from 1 species
CAGUUAGUUGGCGGGGUAAUGGCCCACCAAGACUGUGAUCGGUAUCCGGCCUGAGAGGGCGCACGGACACACUGGAACUGAAACACGGUCCAGACUCCUACGGGAGGCAGCAGUGGGGAAUUUUGCGCAAUGGGGGAAACCCUGACGCAGCAACGCCGCGUGGAGGAUGAAGUCCUUCGGGACGUAAACUCCUUUCGAUCGGGACGAUAAUGACGGUACCGGAAGAAGAAGCCCCGGCUAACUUCGUGCCAGCAGCCGCGGUAAUACGAGGGGGGCGAGCGUUGUUCGGAAUUAUUGGGCGUAAAGGGUGCGUAGGCGGUUUUGUAAGUCUUAUGUGAAAUCUAUGGGCUCAACUCAUAGACUGCAUGAGAAACUGCAGGGCUUGAGUGUGGGAGAGGUGAGUGGAAUUUCCGGUGUAGCGGUGAAAUGCGUAGAUAUCGGAAGGAACACCUGUGGCGAAAGCGGCUCACUGGACCACAACUGACGCUGAUGCACGAAAGCUAGGGGAGCAAACAGGAUUAGAUACCCUGGUAGUCCUAGCCCUAAACGAUGACUGCUUGGUGUGACGGGUACCCAAUCCCGCCGUGCCGUAGCUAACGCGUUAAGCAGUCCGCCUGGGGAGUACGGUCGCAAGGCUGAAACUCAA